CCUACGGGUGGCAGCAGUGGGGAAUAUUGGGCAAUGGGCGCAAGCCUGACCCAGCAACGCAGCGUGAAGGAAGAAGGCUUUCGGGUUGUAAACUUCUUUUGUCAGGGAAGAGUAGAAGACGGUACCUGACGAAUAAGCCACGGCUAACUACGUGCCAGCAGCCGCGGUAAUACGUAGGUGGCAAGCGUUGUCCGGAUUUACUGGGUGUAAAGGGCGUGUAGGCGGGUUGACAAGUCAGAUGUGAAAUCCUGCGGCUUAACCGAGGAACUGCAUUGGAAACUGUCGAUCUUGAGUACUGGAGAGGCAGACGGAAUUCCUCGUGUAGCGGUGAAAUGCGUAGAUAUUACGAGGAACACCGGUGGCGAAGGCGGUCUGCUGGACAGCAACUGACGGUGAUGCGCGAAAGCGUGGGUAGCGAACAGGAUUAGAUACCCGGGUAGUC
rnacentral:rRNA from 1 species